GGGCCCGUAGCUCAGCUUGGUAGAGCAGCAGGCUCAUAACCUGUCGGUCGUGCGUUCAAAUCGCGCCGGGCCCACCA
rnacentral:tRNA from 2 species